UACGGAGGAUCCAAGCGUUAUCCGGAUUUAUUGGGUUUAAAGGGUGCGUAGGCGGGCCUGUAAGUCAGCGGUGAAAGUUCCCGGCUCAACCGGGGAAUUGCCGUUGAAACUACUGGCCUUGAGUGUAGAUGAGGUAGGCGGAAUUCGUAGUGUAGCGGUGAAAUGCUUAGAUAUUACGAAGAACUCCAAUUGCGAAGGCAGCUUACUAGGCUACAACUGACGCUGAGGCACGAAGGUGCGGGGAUCAAACAGGAUUAGAUACCCUGGUAGUCCGCACAGUAAACGAUGAAUACUAACUGUUUGCGAUAUACAGCAAGUGGUAAAGCGAAAGCGUUAAGUAUUCCACCUGGGGAGUACGCCGGCAACGGUGAA
rnacentral:rRNA from 1 species